AUUUCUACUGUGGAUCUUUUUUCAUGUGAUUCCUGCUCUGUAGACGGACUUGGUGCCAUGUUUUAUUUACCGACUACAUUUUGUUUUCUCACAGACAUGAAGGGCUACGAUCGUUCUCAGAGCAGCAGCAGCAGCAGCAGCAUCGACUCUGGUGUCUCUGUCAAUGGCAACACAAAGGACAAAGAGGCUGAGAGUCUCCUGGAUGGAAAUGUGCAAGUCUGAAGUCUCCAGGAAUAUUUCAUCAGAAACAUGGAAUCCAUCCAUCAGUAGCAGGAGACUGAGACUAAAGUAUUUUCUAAUCGUCUUCAAACCUCAAAGUGACAUUUUAGAUGAACUUUUUUGAAUCAGGAGCGUUUGAUCAGAGCGAGCUGGAAGAAAUGAGACUUUAAAGAGUCAGAGUGGAUGUUUACUGGAGCUGCUCCAACCAAACAGCGUUAGAGUUCAGGAGAAAUAAGCUAAACUAGUGGAGAAGCACUUUAUAUUUCAAUCUAAAUCUAAUAAUAUGUUUAAAUAAUUGGACACUAGAACUCCUGUUUGAAGACAGAAAUGAUGAAGGUGAUGAUGAAGGUGUUUGAAUGUAAAAUCAUUUUAAAGUAGAGGAAAUCUGCAAGAACUCUGAAAGAGUUUUAAGUGUUAACUAACACACUAGAGCCGCUGCCUGUGUUAUUGUUUAAUGUCUGGGUUCAGGUCUAGUUCCUGGAGUCGAGAUGAAUCUGAAAACAUGUCAAGAGUCAGUUUGUGGAUGUGUCAGUUUAAGUUACUGCACUAUUGAGUCACGAAGGACAAAAAUCUCCAAAAAACUUUAUAAAACUACCAAACAUUCAAUCAUCCUGAGGAUUUUAACCUGUUAAACUUAGAGUCCCUGUUUAUGGAAAUAAAUAAAUAAAAAUCGCUAUUUUCCAUGAAACUAAUAUUGGGGGGUUGGGGCGUUUCUUUCAGGUCAGGCCUGGAUAUGACCAGGAUUAUCUAAAAUAUUGACUUCAUUCGUAGUUUUUGUGUAGAAACAGAUUUAAAAUUUGCUUCUAAAAAUGUCCCAUUGACUUCCAUCAUAAACACAUAUUUUAAUCUCUGCUCAACAACACAAACACAAAAACCAUGACAUUUUAUACGUAGCCCGAUUACAGGGAAGUAGCUCAUUUUACUUUUACAUUUUACACUAAAAAUGACAAAUAUGACCAUUUGUCUCCAAAAUGAUUUCUUUAAGUCGUGGCUGAGAGAUUAAAACAUGUGGUUAUAAUGGGAGUGAAUGGGACAUUUUUAGUGGUAAACUUUAAAUCUGAUGCUACAGAAAAACUAAUAAUGAAAUCAAGCACUAUUUUAGAUAAUGUUGGUCAUGAUCUGAACACACUAGUUUUAUCCUCAGACUGUUGGAUCAUGCGGUAGUUUUACAAAGUGCUGAAGUGGAAUGAAGGCAGUGGAUUGUUUUCACAGUGUUGUGUUGAGCCACUAAAAUGUAUUUAUAUUAUUUGUUUCAAACUUUGUACCGAGACUUUGUUACAAUAACUUUGUGAACACGUGCACUAACCGCUAAAAUAAUUCCAGAUGAAGAGGAAACUUUUGCCUUAAAGGACAAAGGUGGAGCCAGACAGUGUUAGAGUGGAGGAGAAAUUACAUAAACUACAGAUGUCACACUACCUGAUGUGAUGAAACAUUAACUACAAGCUACAAACUAAAAACUAGAAAUCCUGUUUGAGGACAGAAGUGAUGAAGAAGGUGUUUGUGUUUUUAUUUUGUUGUUGAUGUUGUUUUUGAGAAAGUGUAAAUGUACCUGGAGAUUCAGGAAGAUUCAGACUGAAAAACAAACGCCUCAUGUGUUUUAGUUCAGACUGACACAGAAAUCUGACCUGACACUAUAAAUGUUCUCUAUUGCUUUAAGUUUUAACUUUAACCACCAUGUAGUAUUACCUGUAGUAUUACCUGUAGUAUUAUCUGUAGUAUUAUCUGUGAUUAACAGCCUGAACAGAUUUGAGUGUUGCACUACAUUUAUUCAAGUUUUAUCAUGAAAAGCUUUUUGCCUUAAGUUGAUUUUUUUUGUGUUUGUUUCAUUUUAUCUCUGGGCUUUUCUCCACUUCUUUCAUGAGAAGAACUGAGAACUGAGCUUAGUUGUAUUAAACAUUAUGAAUAAAAGUGUUAUAGAUAUGUUAUGAAGUAUUAUAUGAUGACUUGAGACAGAAGUGAUGAGUAUGAAAUACCUGGAGCUUCUGUCUAUAAUCUGUUCAAGUCUAACUGUUGUUUAUUCUUCAUGUCAGUGAAAAUAAACAGCGAUGAGUUCCA